rnacentral:rRNA from 1 species
UACGAAGGGUGCAAGCGUUGUUCGGAUUUACUGGGCGUAAAGCGCACGCAGGCGGUUAUAUAAGUCAGCGGUGAAAUUCCGGAGCUCAACUCCGGCAUUGCCAUUGAUACUGUAUAGCUAGAGUGUAUGAGAGGAUGAUGGAAUAUCCAGUGUAGAGGUGAAAUUCGUAGAUAUUGGAUAGAACACCAGUGGCGAAGGCGAUCAUCUGGCGUACAACUGACGCUAAUGUGCGAAAGCGUGGGUAGCAAAC